ensembl:lncRNA
CCACAACCCCAUGUAGGGCAUUCAGGUCACCUGCCACACCUGUCACACCACUCAACCUAUCACCUGUCACAAACAUUUCCUGUCCCCGCCCACCUCUCAGACCUCCCCUAACAAACAUUUUAUAAAAAGCGACUUUGCCUCCAUUACUGCCUCUGAAGAAGUUUUAUACAAACGAAACGUCAGGCCUUUUUAGAACCCCCCUCCCUACUUUUUUAUUCUUUUAUUGAUUUUAACCAGUUCUCUCUUUUAAAAGGCACAUAUCUAGCCAUCUGGUUUUUAUCUUUUUAUCGCUUUCUUUUCAUUUAUUUGUUUUAGGUGACCAUCCUGGCAUAUAUCUUAAGCUGAACAGCACACUCUUGUAUCCCUCACCCUAUCUACAUCCCUGGAUUGCUACUUGUCCUGGAUUUUUAAGGGGAGGUAAGCGCUUACCUUGGGGUGGGUUUUUUACAAGAAGAUCAGGCCCACACUAAAAAGGACAUCUUCAGUGUGGCCUCCACCUUGAAUCCGACAACAUCCUUCCCUGUGAACCAAGGAUUUCUAGCCACAGAGCCAAUACUAAAUCCAAGGCCCCAGAACGGCCUACUGGUUUUCUCUCCAUUAGAAAAACAAACUCUAACCUGGACUUAUCAGCGGACUCUUCAAAGCCAACCUGCCCUUACCUGUGACACAGACACCGACACAGAUAUGGACACACAUACACACACUACACAUGCACACACAAACGGACGCACACAAUCAGAUUUACCUCCACUCACUCACAUCACCAAAAUAUAUUUUAAAAUCAUACAAUCAGUACACCACCGUAACAUCAUGACACAUGCCAUCACUACCAACACUCCCCCAAUGGGAAUGUACAGACAGGUGAGAAAGCUGGCCCAGUUCAUUAAACUUGCAUGCCCCAAUAAAACCACAUCUGAUAGGGUCCAGCAGAGCACGGACAUCUGGCUUAAGCAAACCUGGUCAUUUUAAAUGACCAUUUUUAUUCUGUUUUAAACACCCUCCU